rnacentral:tRNA from 2 species
GGAGAGCUGUCCGAGUGGUCGAAGGUGCGUGAUUCGAAAUCACGUGUACCGAGAGGUACCAAGGGUUCGAAUCCCUUGCUCUCCGCCA